ACGUAAUUCAGUUUGUUUAUUUUAGCUGUACUUUAAUUCACACAGUUUAAUUCACACAGAUAUUCAGGAAGUUUCAUCAUAGAGAUGAGUGCAGGAUCUCAAAUGUUGUUGAAGUAAAAGCGAAAGCAUUGUUUUGAUUAUUCUAAAAUGUUAUGAUGAUGAUGAUGAAAGCUUGUUUAUGAUAUGAGACAUUUUACUCUUCUGAAGGGUGAGAAGGAUUUCCCAAUGUGUUAUAGAAAACUUCUCCUAAAGAUAUUAGCAAAUGAUAAAAAUAAAGUUAUACCCCAGAAGUUUUGCUCUUUGCAAUUAGGUUUAUGAUCUAUCGUCUCCAAAUAUAUGGAGUUUUUUAAUUAAUGAGAUUCUGUGUUAUUUGCUUAAGAUGGUCUGUAACAACUGUCUAAAUUGGAAACUGGAAUUUAGGAAGAUGUAGUGUUUCAUAUGUUUAGAAGUAGAAUGGUGUUCAGUAUUUGGCCUCACUCAGAUAUAAUAAUAACCCAGGCUUCUAGCCAUCCAGAGAUGUUUUUCCUUAACCAAGCAUUCAUUAAUAUUUGUAACAUUUACACAACCUGAAGAUUCUGAUAGCCCUUCAGUGUUCAGGAUGCUCCAUGGAGUGUGUAGUGACUGCUGGGUUU
rnacentral:lncRNA from 1 species